GGCAUACUGCUAGUUCUAGAAUGCUUUGGAGCUUUCUGCCCCCCAUUAUCUUCUACCUGAUUAGAUGUGCUAUGGCAAAUCUUCCCAAGCCUUUCAAUUGAGUCAGCAAUAUAUUCCAAUGAAUCACUUAAAGAUGCCAGUAAAAUUAGCUUGUUAUCAUCACGAAUCAAGUUUUCCUGUCUGAUUGGUCGCAAAUUCAAUAAUGCGUCACUGAUUUCCAUUUCAACCUCUGAAUUUUCACCAUUGGCAGCACCAUAUUCUGUGUUAAGCUCACCAGUUGAGCAGGGUAAACAUGCACUAGCUGGAUCACGUUGCAUCAGAUUUUCAAUGUCAUGUCUGCCUAUGAGCAUAUAACUUUGCUUCUCAAGAACUGCCUCCAUGUAUGAAGUGCGACAUCUUUCAUAUGUUCUU
rnacentral:misc_RNA from 1 species